AAAAAAAAAGAUGAACCAGUGUGCGAUCCAUCCAAGCGCUUUCUCUUCCCGCGAAGAGAUACGGAGUUCUGUUUCGGUUCCCAUGUCGGAGCGGAGAGAUUCGGUUGUUUGCCCCAAACCGAGACGUCUCGGUCUUUUGAACGCCACCAUCAACGACCAGCCUGUUAGGUCUCUCAGAUGGCAUUUCAGCCACCAAUCAGAGCUCUGUGAUUCAAAAGCAGGAACCGAUCUUUUAGACAUCAUCCUGACAAAGGUGAGGGUUUUUAUCCUUUCCUUUAUUUUUUUUUUUUAAUUUUGCUUUGGUUUCGUGUUUGCGCGUAUGGUGGUCAUUAAUUUAUUUUGAUGUAUAAUAAAUUAUUUUGCUAUUAAAGAAUUUGGGCGUGGUUCUUGUAACAAUGGCCAUAUUUCAACAGAAAGUAGAAUUCACAGCACAUCUGGGGACCAUCCAUAAACUUGUGGUUGGUUAGUUCUUGUUAAAACACCUUGUCGGUUUCAUGGGUCUCUUCUGUUCAUCAAAAUUAUUCUAGAAGAAAGCGACACCAUUUAGACAUGCGACACCAUUUAGACAUGCAAAAGAUCUGUUGCCGUUUCAAUUUUACAUGUUAUUAUAGAUUUUUAGCUUCUAAAUAUUUGUUCAAUCCGCAUAAUUAACUUGAUUAUGGGGUAAAUAUUUGCAGGGUGGUUAUGGUGUUGAACAAUCUUGUACACAGGUAGCCUCGUCGCCCCCUUUUUUUGUGGGUCACCGCCGAGCAGAGUAUCUAACCCAUUAAUUCAAGACGCUCGAUUUGGGGAUGAGAAACUCUCCCCUAUGUCGCCACUUAUGCCUAUGCCGAUUCCGCCUCCAUCGGGUUUAUCAUCAUCUCCGACUUCCUCUUCAAGGAAAGGAGGCUGCGUCCGAUCAAAUUUUGGAAACAAACCACCAGUGAGGAUUGAGGGAUUUGAUUGCCUCGACAGGGAUCGCAGGAAUUGCAGCAUCCCUGCAUUGGCCUAGAGAAAACCCCAUUUCAAUUAAUACAAAAAGGUACAUAGUUAAAAAGAGGAGCUAAACAAACAAUCGCGUCAACAACUUCGGUAGUGUGAGGAAUUUUGAAACUCUCAUGAGAGGGAAAGGUGGAGAGAAUCUUUUGCUAGUGUAAAUAUGCGUUUAAGGGUUCUUUUGUAUGUAAUGAUGUGUCUCUGUAAGUCAAAUCAGUGUCAACAAAAAUAAUGGAGGGUUACUAGAAUUUUUGUGGUUGAGCUGAGAAAACAUUCUUUCUUGCUUAAUCCUGUUUGGUUAUUAUAAGCAGUGAUGAGAGUCUCAGGUGAGAAUGUGAAAAUUUUCUUUUUGUGUCCCUUUUUUGGGAUCCUGGAGUUUCAAUGAGCGGCUUAAGAAGGGAAAUUUGUACAGAAAUCUUAGUCGGCGUUGAGUGUUUAAUGUAGUAAUUUACAAUGUAAAUAUGUCCGUUUUCUUUAAUCAGUGGAAUGAUUCUGUUUUUCGUUUUUUCAUCUACCAUUGAUUUCGAGCCUGGAAAAGUAAAAAUAGUAGGUGAUGAUGCAUUUGUAUUCGCUUGUGAUUUACGCCAAUGAGCAAAAGAAAUGGGCCCUGGCGACGCGGGGUUGAUUGAUUGUCAAUGGCUCCUUGUCUGGAUCCCAUCCAUGUAAGUGAUUAAAAAGCUUCACACCCCGCAAUUGCUGCGC
rnacentral:misc_RNA from 1 species